rnacentral:rRNA from 1 species
UACGUAGGGUGCAAGCGUUGUCCGGAAUUAUUGGGCGUAAAGAGCUCGUAGGCGGCCUGUCGCGUCGGCUGUGAAAACCCGAGGCUCAACCUCGAGACGCCGAUGGAAACCAUCAGACUAGAGUCCGGAAGAGGAGAGUGGAAUUCCUGGUGUAGCGGUGAAAUGCGCAGAUAUCAGGAAGAACACCCGUGGCUAAGGCGGCUCUCUAGUACGGUACUGACGCUGAGACGCGAAAGCGUGGGGAGCGAACAGG